UGGGGAAUCUUGCGCAAUGGGCGAAAGCCUGACGCAGCGACGCCGCGUGCGGGAUGAAGGCCUUCGGGUCGUAAACCGCUUUCAGCAGGGACGAGGCCGCAAGGUGACGGUACCUGCAGAAGAAGCCCCGGCUAACUACGUGCCAGCAGCCGCGGUAAUACGUAGGGGGCAAGCGUUAUCCGGAUUCAUUGGGCGUAAAGCGCGCGUAGGCGGCCUGUUAGGUCGGGAGUCAAAUCCCGGGGCUCAACCCCGGCUCGCUCCCGAUACCGGCAGGCUUGAGUCUGGUAGGGGAAGGCGGAAUUCCCAGUGUAGCGGUGGAAUGCGCAGAUAUUGGGAAGAACACCGGUGGCGAAGGCGGCCUUCUGGGCCACGACUGACGCUGAGGCGCGAAAGCUAGGGGAGCGAACAG
rnacentral:rRNA from 1 species